rnacentral:rRNA from 1 species
AGAGUUUGAUCCUGGCUCAGGACGAACGCUGGCGGCGUGCUUAAUACAUGCAAGUCUACGAGAAAGUUAGCUUCGGCUAGCAAGUAAAGUGGCGAACGGGUGAGUAACGCGUAGGUAACCUGCCUUUAGAUUUGGGAUAACUUUGCUAACGCAGGGCUAAUACCAAAUAAUGCGUUUUUUUCACAUGAAAAUAACGUUAAAGAAGGGGAUUCGUAAGAACCUUUUGUCUAAAGAUGGACCUGCGUUCCAUUAGUUUGUUGGUGAGGUAACGGCUCACCAAGGCGAUGAUGGAUAGCCGACCUGAGAGGGUGAUCGGCCACACUGGGACUGAGAUACGGCCCAGACUCCUACGGGAGGCAGCAGUAGGGAAUAUUGCGCAAUGGCCAAAAGGCUGACGCAGCAACACCGCGUGACUGAUGAAGCUCUAAGGAGUGUAAAGGUCUGUUAGGAGGGAAGAAUAGUUUAGACGUUAAUAAUGUUUGAAUCUGACGGUACCUCCAGAGAAAGCUCCGGCCAACUCCGUGCCAGCAGCCGCGGUAAUACGGGGGGAGCAAGCGUUGUCCGGAAUUACUGGGCGUAAAGGGCGCGUAGGCGGAUUUGUAAGUCAGAAGUGAAAUCUAUCGGCUCAACCGAUAAACUGCUUCUGAAACUGCAAGUCUUGAGUAAGGCAGAGGAAAGUGGAAUUCCUGGUGUAGCGGUGAAAUGCGUAGAUAUCAGGAAGAACACCAGUUGCGAAGGCGGCUUUCUGGGCCUUUACUGACGCUGAGGCGCGAAAGCGUGGGGAGCAAACAGGAUUAGAUACCCUGGUAGUCCACGCCCUAAACUAUGUGCACUAGGUGUUGGAGGUUCGACCCCUUCAGUGCCGCAGCUAACGCAAUAAGUGCACCGCCUGGGGAGUACGAUCGCAAGGUUGAAACUCAAAGGAAUUGACGGGGGCCCGCACAAGCGGUGGAGCAUGUGGUUUAAUUCGAUGCUACGCGAAGAACCUUACCGGGGUUUGAAAUGCAGUUGAAAUCCCGAGAAAUCGGGACCCCUUCGGGUAACUGUACAGGUGCUGCAUGGCUGUCUUCAGCUCGUGUCGUGAGAUGUUGGGUUAAGUCCCGCAACGAGCGCAACCC